GGCACCCCUAAUUUUAAUAACUCCUGCACUAAUGUGAUUUUACUCUUUCAGAUUCCACAAUGAAAUACUCGGCUAAAUCAGUGAAGAAAAAUGAGCCAACAAAGGUUAGAAGACAGAGUCUGAUUGAACUAAGAAAAAGUAAAAUCCAGGCGUUUCGACUGUUCCUUCACACUCUAAGGAUGAGACGGGUAAGUAGCACAGGUUCCAUACUGGGUACCCCUAACUAAACCUUCCUGUGCAAUCUACGCUUCCUGUCAGAUGGAGGCUUUUGCUGCACUAUCUGCUGAAAGGCUAUAUAACUGCUCAGAUUAUAGGUGGUGGUAUCUUCUAACGGGACAACUUGGCACAGAGGAUGGUGAUAGAAAAAUGAACCAACUGUAUAUUGUGUCAACAAAACAAACUAGGAUGUCACUCGCAACAGCCGAUGGUUCAAAUUCUAGGCUACUACACAAAGGCCCAGAAUAGUGUGUGCGUGGAUAGCCCUUGACUUGAUGUCUGGACUGGAACCACACAUGAUCAGCAAGUUCCUCAUGGGUGGGGAUAGAGCAUACCAAUAGGGAGUUGGCUCCUGCCACUUAUAAAUGUAGGGGAUCCUUGGUAGCUGCAUAUAGUGAGCAAACACUGUAACAGAUGGCAAUCAUUAAUACUGGAGUAAUGUCCUUUGAAAAUAUCUUUAAUUUUCCCCAAUCCCUGGUCCUUGCAUCCUCGCCAUAUUCUAAAAAAUUAAAGAACCGAAACAUUGACUUCUUUCUGGGAGAACGUGGAAACUGAAGGGUUAAUAUAACCACUUUCUCGGCACAGACCGAAGCACAUUUUAUUGCUUUAAACCAGGAUGUAAGAAUGCUGGACUGGGCCGUACCACACAAUGUGUGACUCUCAAAGAUUGGCACAAUUUACCAUGAAUAGCCUACAUCUUGUAUCUGUGGGACUGUUGGAGGAAUUGGCAGAGCCACAAACGCUUGCUCUUUGCUUAAUGCCGUUAAAGAUAUUUAAUCCAGAGACCUCAUUCUUGCAGAGGUUCCCACAGUUCAAAGACCAGGACAAGGCUUUCUCUGCUCUUAUUGGAAUUAAUUGCUCAUAUUCCCCUCCCUGAAUCUCAUGAAGUGUCAGACUUAAAGAUCUGACUUCUGUCCCUUAAUCAGCCUGUUACCAAGCUGUUGGCUUGGUUUGAUUGUAAACUGAGUGUUAUUCAGGUCCCUGGCUAAAAAUAGUUUUAUUUGGCUUAAAACCAAAUCUAAUGUCUGAACUAUGACUGCCAGAUUAACUGUAAAUAUUUUUUGCUCACUACUUUCUCCUUUUUAAAAACUGUUUAUUUUGUUUACAGUCAUCUCAAAGGUCGUUCAUCUGAGCAAUAUGAUCCGUUGUCACAUCCCUGAUGGUAAAAUGACAAGAUUCCUGGAAAUUCAAGCCCCUCUAGAGUCUAUUAAGACCAU